AGGCAUCCAUCUUGGGCUAAAGAGUUUGAAAAUUGAAAUCUUGGCAGAGGUUGACUUAUCGGUAAGAAAACGCCAUCUGAGUAACUCCAAGUGACUGAAGACUUCAGUUCUCACCUGCAAACUUUUUAAAAGGAAAUUGUUAUACCAUACUUGCUAAAUUUGA